CCUACGUGGUGCAGCAGUGAGGAAUAUUGGUCAAUGGACGAGAGUCUGAACCAGCCAAGUAGCGUGAAGGAUGACUGCCCUAUGGGUUGUAAACUUCUUUUAUAUGGGAAUAAAAUGUUCCACGUGUGGGAUUUUGUAUGUACCAUAUGAAUAAGGAUCGGCUAACUCCGUGCCAGCAGCCGCGGUAAUACGGAGGAUCCGAGCGUUAUCCGGAUUUAUUGUGUUUAAAGGGAGCGUAGGUGGAUUGUUAAGUCAGUUGUGAAAGUUUGCGGCUCAACCGUAAAAUUGCAGUUGAAACUGGUAGUCUUGAGUACAGUAGAGGUGGGCGGAAUUCGUGGUGUAGCGGUGAAAUGCUUAGAUAUCACGAAGAACUCCGAUUGCGAAGGCAGCUCACUGGACUGCAACUGACACUGAGGCUCGAAAGUGUGGGUAUCAAACAGGAUUAGAUACCCUUGUAGUC
rnacentral:rRNA from 1 species